rnacentral:rRNA from 1 species
AAUCAACGCUGGCGGCGUGCCUAACACAUGCAAGUCGAACGAGAAAGUGGAGCAAUCCAUGAGUAAAGUGGCGACCGGGUGAGUAACACGUGACUAACCUACCUCCGAGUGGGGAAUAACUCCGGGAAACCGGGCUAAUACCGCAUAACAUCGCGAGAUCAAAGCAGCAAUGCGCUUGGAGAGGGGGUCGCGGCUGAUUAGCUAGUUGGCGGGGUAAUGGCCCGACCAAGGCGAAGAUCGGUAUCCGGCCUGAGAGGGCGCACGGACACACUGGAACUGAAACACGGUCCAGACUCCUACGGGAGGCAGCA